rnacentral:rRNA from 1 species
CCUACGGGUGGCUGCAGUAGGGAAUAUUGCACAAUGGGCGAAAGCCUGAUGGAGCAACGCCGCGUGAGCGAUGAAGGCCUUCGGGUCGUAAAGCUCUGUCCUCAGGGAAGAUCAUGACGGUACUUGAGGAAGAAGCCCCGGCUAACUACGUGCCAGCAGCCGAGGUAUUACGUAGGGGGCUAGCGUUCUCCGGAAUUAUGGGGGGUAAAGGGUGCGUAGGUGGUUUCUUAAGUAGGAGGUGAAAGGCUACGGCUCAACCGUAGUAUGCCUUUGAAACUGGGGAACUUGAGUGCAGGAGAGGAGAGUGGAAUUCCUAGUGUAGCGGUGAAAUGCGUAGAUAUUAGGAGGAACACCAGUGGCGAAGGCGGCUCUCUGGACUGUAACUGACACUGAGGCACGAAAGCGUGGGGAGCAAACAGGAUUAGAUACCCUUGUAGUC